rnacentral:rRNA from 1 species
UACAGAGGUCCCAAGCGUUGUUCGGAUUCACUGGGCGUAAAGGGUGCGUAGGCGGUUCGUUAAGUCUGUUGUGAAAUCCCCGGGCUCAACCUGGGAAUGGCAAUGGAUACUGGCGGGCUAGAGUGUGUCAGAGGAUGGUGGAAUUCCCGGUGUAGCGGUGAAAUGCGUAGAGAUCGGGAGGAACAUCAGUGGCGAAGGCGGCCAUCUGGGACAACACUGACGCUGAAGCACGAAAGCGUGGGGAGCAAACAGG